GCCCCAUCUCCCCGUCUCCCCUUAAAACAGGCACGCCCAACCGUGAUGGCAUCGGCCUCCAAGCGUUGCUGAAGCUAAUGGCAUUAGGAGACGCUAUGAGCCAGCAGCCCUGUGACAGCAGGAACUUCCCAGAUGACAAGGCGGCCUUCUUUUGCACCUGAUGCAGAUUGUCAUCCCCAGAUAUCUGAGAGAUAAGUCGAGGGCUACAACUCCUCGAGGGGGUGAAUGUGGGGUGCUGGGUUGGGACUCGCCGGGAGGGGUUUUUGAGUCAGCUUUGGGGCUGAGGCUAUCCAAGAAGUGUCCCCUUAGGCCACAUAACGGGAAAGUGUCACUUUUGAUCCCGGUGCUGAGGUGCGCAGGGCAGAGCAGUCCCGGAGUGUAUCGUGUCACUUGUCUAAUGUGCCUUGUGUUGUUUAUAUGUCUCAUGUCUUACGUGUUCUACUUUAGCCCUUUGAGGGGCCUAUCAGAAACCCUGGCAUCAUUCUUAGCAUCUGUGCUCUCUGCAUUUCCUGGUCUGGCACCAAUGCCACAGGACUUUUGACUCAGGAGCUCGGACAGGCAUCAGAAUUGCACCUCUCUAUCAAAGACAUCUGACUGGAUGCUUCUAAGGUCUUGUUCUGAGCUGUAUGGACAGCUGUGCAUCGCAAGGAUCCCUUAUUGCGGAUUAGGGCUUGUAAGAAUGUGAGGAUAGGUAGAGGAUUCUGACCGUAGGAUUCACAGGCAUCCAUCUUUGCAGUUCUUAGAAGGAACCAUUCUCUUAGCAGAUACUUCUUCCAGAGUUCUCUGAGCCUCAUCGGCUUACCAUUGGUCUCACCUCGGUCCUCUCAUUUUGCACUCUCUCGGUCCUUGCAGUCAUUCCUCUUACCAAGAGAUUUCUGUCCCUGUUGUGUCCCCAUUGUUUGUCCUGUUGCGUGUCACGGGUGUCUGCACACGUUUGUGCCGGGUUUGCUCUGCCCUGCCGCGUAGCCUGGUGUAAUAGGACACAUCCUGGGGGCUUGAAAUUUGUAGUGUGGGGUGUAGUUGGAUUCUAGAUGGUAUUCUUAGGUUGACCCUAGGAAGUUGUCUGGAGCUGUGGAGUUAUCCUGCAGCCCUUUGAACUUUGUCCUGACUCUGUUUCAGAUGCAGACGGAUAAAAUCCAUGGCAGAACUCCCUAUCCCAGGAAGUAAAGCCAUCUAGCAGCAGUCAAGGUGAGGUGGUCAAGGCAAUCUACUCAGGUUAUGCCAAGCCCCUGUCACCAACCUGCUGAUGGACCAUGUUUGCUGCUCUCAUGAGCCCUGUGGAGGUAUUGCAAGACUGUCAUGAAGCCUUGAAGUUGUCUGUUUAAAGGUCCCUUCUGGGUAGCCCUCAGGAAUGGCCAAGGAGUUGUGGUGAGUUGGGGAGGUAUCGAGGAG